rnacentral:tRNA from 1 species
GCCUGGCUGGCUCAGUGGGUAGAGCAUGUGACUCUUGAUCUCGGGGUCAUGAGUUCAAGCCCCAUGUUGGGCA